rfam:Triticum aestivum genome assembly, contig: Triticum_aestivum_CS42_TGACv1_scaffold_112241_2AS
GAUGUACUCCCUCCGUCUUAAAAUUUUUGUCUUAGAUUUAUCUAAAUAUAGAUGUAUCAAGUCACAUUUUAGUAUUAGGUACAUCCGUAUUUAGACAAAUCUAAAAGAAAAAUUUUAAGACAAAGGGAGUAUUUA